AGAGUUUGAUCCUGGCUCAGAGCGAACGCUGGCGGCGUACUUAACACAUGCAAGUCGAACGGGGAUCGUCGGGUUAGCAAUAAUUCGGCGGUCCUAGUGGCGCACGGGUGAGUAACACGUGGGUAACCUGCCCUUGAGUUCGGGAUACCGCCUCGAAAGGGGGGCUAAUACCGGAUACGGUCCUCGGGUCGAAAGGCCUGGGGAAGAAAGGUAGCGCAAGCUGCCGCUCUUGGAGGGGCUCGCGGCCUAUCAGCUAGUUGGCGGGGUAACGGCCCACCAAGGCUAUGACGGGUAGCUGGUCUGAGAGGACGACCAGCCACACGGGGACUGAGACACGGCCCCGACUCCUACGGGAGGCAGCAGUGGGGAAUUUUCCGCAAUGGGCGAAAGCCUGACGGAGUGACGCCGCGUGUGGGACGAAGGCCUUCGGGUCGUAAACCACUGUCAGUGGGAAAGAUGGGUGUCGGCGUGAACAGCGCCGAUACUUGACGGUACCUGCAGAGGAAGCCCCGGCCAACUCUGUGCCAGCAGCCGCGGUAAGACAGAGGGGGCAAGCGUUGCUCGGAAUUACUGGGCGUAAAGGGCGCGUAGGCGGAAUGGCAAGUCGGUCGUGAAAUCCUUCGGCUCAACCGAAGAACGUCGAUCGAAACUGCCGUUCUUGAGGAUUGCAGAGGAGACUGGAAUUCCCGGUGUAGCGGUGAAAUGUGUAGAGAUC
rnacentral:rRNA from 1 species